GCUUGCGUGGGGGCUCAGAGGACACCAUGAUGAGGUCUCUUGCAUGCGUCUCGGUUUUUAAAUUAUUUAUUUAUUAUUAUUUUAUAAUAAAUUGGGAUUUUCGUUUAUUUUUUUAUAUAUUUUGGGAUAAUUUUAAUAAAAUUACAUUGUAUUUUAUUUUUUAAAAAGUUUUUUGUAAUUUUAAUUUUAAUUUUAUAGAAGGUGAUGGUCGUGGUCAUCAUACUGCUGAUGCCGUAUCAACCAUAACAUAGCCCGCAUACAUGACAUGACUUGACAUGACAUGCGACAUAAUAAUGGUUGAUGGGAAAAAUACCAUUUCUGUCCUUUGUCUUUUUUCUCCAUUCCAGUUUUUUCUUUUUUCUUUUUUCCUUUCUUAUUAAUUUUAAAUAGUAAUGUUCGUAUUAUUUCAAUCACUUUAAAUAUAUUGGAUAUAACUGUUUAAAUAACCUAAGUUAAAAACAGCCUAAAUCAUAGAAAACAACUUAUAGUAUUAAUAAUGAAAUGAAAAAAAAAAGAAGAGUAAAAUAUUAAAUCAAUAUAUAUGGUGCAUAAGGGUAGAAAAUCUCUACCUCCAGAAAUUGAAAUAUCAACUGCACCACUUCAUCUCUAUCUCUCGUUCAUGUCCACGGCAGUUCUCACGCCAACUCAGCUGGUAUAUGAUUUCCACCGAUCUCAAUGGUUUCUAUAUACCCAUCUCUACCACAAUUCUCAUCGAAGGAUCUUCACGGUUGAAGAAAUAGUUUGUUGCGACCUAUUCUACCAGGAUAUAGUAAAGUGGAUAUCGUGGAGAGAUGAACCAAUUGAGAAUUAAAGCAAGUGAUUCCAUUGUUUCCGCUCCUACUUGAAUGGUUCCAUACUUUAGUUCUUAAUGAAGGAAUAAAUUAAUUUUUUAUUUUUAUGGAGGAAAAUGUAUAUUCUUUUUGCAGGUUUUUUUUCAAUCUUUCCAAUUUCUGUGAAUGAAUUUUAGAAGGUUAAGAUUUUACUUUUUUUUGUAUGAAUAUAUUUGCUUUCAAAUUUCUUGAAACAAAUGUAAACUGUAAUCAUUAGUUGCUUCCAAAGAUUUACAUACAACAAUAUUGAAAUCGACAAAAAUAAACUUAAAAAACAUUGCAUAGAA